rnacentral:rRNA from 1 species
GUGGGGAAUUUUGGACAAUGGGCGCAAGCCUGAUCCAGCAAUGCCGCGUGCAGGAAGAAGGCCUUCGGGUUGUAAACUGCUUUUGUACGGAACGAAACGGUCCUGGUUAAUACCCGGGGCUAAUGACGGUACCGUAAGAAUAAGCACCGGCUAACUACGUGCCAGCAGCCGCGGUAAUACGUAGGGUGCAAGCGUUAAUCGGAAUUACUGGGCGUAAAGCGUGCGCAGGCGGUGCUGUAAGACAGGCGUGAAAGCCCCGGGCUUAACCUGGGAAUUGCGCUUGUGACUGCAGUGCUGGAGUGCGGCAGAGGGGGAUGGAAUUCCGCGUGUAGCAGUGAAAUGCGUAGAUAUGCGGAGGAACACCGAUGGCGAAGGCAAUCCCCUGGGCCUGCACUGACGCUCAUGCACGAAAGCGUGGGGAGCAAACAGGAUUAGAUACCCUUGUAGUCC